rnacentral:lncRNA from 1 species
CAACUCUGAAAAUAGAAAGCUAUGGACUGAAAGCUUAUUCAGCCAAAAAAAAAGAAAAGAAAGAAAGAAAGGAUGCCUCAGAGAAAGCCCAGGGAUAUCUGGACAAGUAAGCAAGAUUUACUCUUUUGUCAGAAGAGCUGAUGGCAGGUGAUUAUUUCUGGAGUAUUUGCAACUGAAGUGAUUCUCUUUGAGCGAUCUACACUUUGGCAAAUAAUCUCAUCCACACAUCCACAGACACCCAUAUGUGCACACAGACAUCCACGUGUCAACCUGAAGCAAAAUGGGAUGACAACUUCCUGUAGUCUUGGCUGCAAAUGGAUCUUCAAGGAAGAAGCUUG